GACCGCGCAGCUCAGUUGGAAGAGCAUUGGGCUAGUAUUCCAAAGGUCGUAGGUUCGAAUCCCACCGUGGUCA
rnacentral:tRNA from 1 species